GCCGGGGUGAGCGCAUUGAAGUGGCUGUCAUAAAUCACAUGAUCCACAGAAACAUGAAAUGGCCAAUGCUGAGGGAUGGCCUUACCCCUUGAUCAUGACUCUCAGUUCUACUACAUUGCACGUAAGAGUCAUUGGACGAAGGCGUCUUCUGAUCCCCGAUGCUCAAAGCGGUACGGUAUUGGAAGCAUAAGGACCUUAUCUUUCAUAUCAGCGAGAAAUCAUUUUCAAAAAACAAAAGAUGAAAUUGAUACAUACCUUGGUAGGGUUAGGGUUCCCACAUGGUCAUAUUUCCACGUUACAGCGCUUAUUUACAUAAAACUGACAGAAGACAAGAUGCUAACCUGUGCUAAUUAGCCACUCCGCAUGCUCAGAACACAUUUGCGUAAAAGCGUAACUCGGGAAGUGUACUUUCGUUAGAUGGAGGCGCUCAUUGCUGUGUGUAUCUGAGAAAAACUGCUACAGUAAGUGUCUCUUUUUAAUUUGUAGGAUUCUUUCUCGCUGAUGAAAGGUAAGGGCCAUAUAUUUCGAAAGUCGUAUCGCAAGCGAUGAUUCUACACGUUAAAACAGCGGUGGGAUUGUAGUUCAUAUGAGGCAGUCAUGGGCGAAGCUAAUGGCUUGAGAAAUGUAUGGAGAAGGCCACCUAGAGUUUUCGAGAACUAGGAUGGCCUGUGCUGGUCUGUACACCUUUUAGUGUUCAUCGUUUAUCAUUGUUAAAUCUAAUGUUUAUCGAUUCCAUAUUAUUAUUUUAUGAAACUGUGAGUCUACUAUAAAGUUUCGAGAUGCAUCAUCGCUCGAUUAUCAAUGUGCCUUUUUUGGCAUGUACUCUAAUUCCAAUAUUUUAUCAAUUUUAUUAUGUGCCAACAUUUUUAUUCACAUUGACAACAACGGAUUUGAUGUUCUUACAUGAAGACUGAUUCAUUAUCAUCAAUGAAGCUUCAUCAAGAAGGCCACAAUACCUAACUUUUUACUUAUACUUUUGCUUAUAAUUGCCAAACUCAACAAGUUGAUCUAAAUCUUAAAAUUAUUUUAAACAUUUGUGAUCAUGUUGCAACAAGUGUUUAUUUCUUAAAUUGAAAAUAACCUACUUCUUAUAGGUUAUAGGAUUAGUUUCAGUAGGUUGUCCCACCAUCUAAAGUUAGGCCUACCUAACGAAAAACAUUAUAAAAAAACCUGACAAUCGGAAGUUGUAGGCUACAGGUGACAAAUAACAUUCUAUCAUUUACACAUAAAGUUGGCCAGAAGAUGUUCAAGUGAGUGAUAACAGGAAACCAUAACAAUGUCGCCACCUUGUGAUUAAAUCUAUUCAAUCAUUGGAUACCCAUUAGCCAAUCCAUAGACAUAAAUUUGAACCAUUUGGACCCAGAGAAUAAGAUACAUCUAUGACUGGAUUGUAGGAAUACAAUUAUUAAAGUGGUAGCCUGAAGUGCAGUAGCGGAUUUAGGUAUAGGCGACAUGGGCAGCCGCCCAAGGCGGCAUCUUGCCGGGGGCAGCACGGGCGCCCACACAAACAAAUGUGGAAUGGUGACAGUUUUCUAUCGCUCAUUUGCACGUCACGUCAAUGAUAUAAUGUCACCGUGUGGGACUGUGGGUCAAUUAACCUUGUCGGAGUGGGAACCCUGAUUCUAGUUUGUGAGCUAGGCAGGCUACUUGAUAUUUAUUAGUCUUUAUUUCGUAUAUAUUUUUAUAUAGUUUUAAAUGUAAUGAUUAUUUAUUUGUGUUGUUCCAGAUGUCUGAAUAAAAAUUACAAUUAGUGCGGGGGGGGUUCGCCCAGGGAGCCAUACAAGCUACAACUGCCUAUUGCUCAUAUGAUAACGCAAGAGGGCUGAUUUGGCAUCAGUAAAUCCGCGCUCAAAGCCAUUCAACCAAUGAGAUGCUUGCAAGAAAUACUCAUCAAUCAGAAGGCUUGUGAUCUUUGUUCUUCCACUGUGAUCAUCAAAACACGGAAAUGUUGAGACAGACCAUGUAAUAGGGUCGUCACUAGUUACUACAGCCACAAAGUCAUACACCCUCCCAUUUGUACAAUGUAUCGUCUUAAAAGUUUAUUUUAAACCUAACCACACUGCUAACCAAAUGCCUAAUCUUACAUUUUAGUUUUCAUAAAUGUUUACAAUAUAUACCAUUUAGACUUUGUGGCUUUGGUAACUAGUGGAAACCAUUUCGCUUGGUCUCUGCUUCAUCAAACAGAGGACCACUUGGUUGUUGUAAAACGCACACCGUUUUAUGAGAAUGCAAUGUAACAAAGCUGUAUUAAUCAGCAAAGUAAAUAUAUUUUGCUAAUCAAUCUUUAAACAUGUCUCUCUGGGGUUUAUGAUGUUGUGGCUGUGGUAACUAGUGAUGACCGUGACAUAGUUAGUUGGCCUACUCACCAAACUACUCAAAGGUUAGGAAUAGAUUUCCUGCUCGACAUGUCUAUAUCACCGUUUAUCCCAACACGAGUGGCGUGUGCGACAUCCCAGUACUAUGCAAAUGCAGGUGAAUAAACUGUGUAUUUAAUAAAUCAGUCUCAUGACGACAAUCGUAUAGGACGGGCUCGGGAAAAUUGAUAAUCAAUUUGUGCUAAAGCUAAUUUAAACCGUAGAUUACUACUAGCUAGUUACCGGUAAUCUCAACUCAAUGACCCAAUUGUUGCAUGCAAAGAACCCACUCAAGGACCCUAGUGCUGCAAAGUAGGCUACCAGAGGUCAAUAGAGAGAGAGUCACAUAACCGUCAGGGUAUCCAGUAACCCUUGAAAAUGACACAAGUCAUUACAUGUUAUGUCUUUGGAGAAGGUGUCUAUUGUACGAGUUUUGUUAAAGCCCCGACGCUCGGUCUUAAAAUUAACAGGCAUCAUUUGCAAGCAUUAGAGACCUUUCAUAAAGAACAAAAGGUUAAAUUGAUGUACACCUUUUAUAUGGUUAGGGUUCCCACAUGGCCAUGUUACAGCGCUUGUUUACGGAAGAUGAGUAGCCCACUCCAUCUUCGUUCUCCACCUGUGCUAAUUAGCUAUCUGUGUCUCUGAACACCUGUGUGUAAACGUGUUGUCACUGAAAAAUACUGUUGGCUGCAACUUUGUUAAAAUUGGUUAAAUCCCUUUUACAGUAAGUGUGUCUUAUACUUUUAUUUUAUUUGUAUAGGGACAAGUACAAACACAUUGAAUAAACAAUCGUUCGAUGCGUUGCACUAGUGUUUCUAGCUCACACUAAUUUCAACACCUGUCCCUAGAUGGACUUUAAUGGAAACAAAAGGAAAAAAUAAAUACAUAAUAAAAAAAUUGAAUAAAUAACAUAAAAUAAUAUAUGUACAUUGUCAUAUUGAUAUCCACAAAGCAAAUCUCCUCAUAUAUAUAUAUAUAUUUAAAACUGUUGAUAAUACACAGCAGUUCAUUCAUGAUUGCACUAUUGGAGCUGUAGCAACCAGAUUUAGGUGGUUCUUUUGAAUGUAUUAAAAUGUUCAGGCAGUUUGUAAUUCUAAUAAAAUGUGUGAAAUUAUUUUUGUGUCAUAUGAAAGUAGAGGGAUUUAUGUUUCUAGAACCAUACCGCAAUUGAGAAUCGAUUCACGUUUAGAUGGAGUAUUUGGCUGUUUUGGUUUCCAGAGCCAAUUCGCCUUUAAACAGAACAUUAAACAGGUCCUUGGACUAUGGGACACAGCCAAUCUGCAGCCCGGACCACUGCAGUGGGAUCCCAGCUGUGGCGGCCAGUCGCUCUGCACCCUCCAGGGUCAUGAAGGGGCCAUCUACAGCACACUGUGGUCUCCGCAUCGAAUACAGUUACACUUCACUUGGUCAUUAAUGCUUCAGAUAUUAAAUGAGUUAAAGUAGCAUUUAAAUUCUCUAGCUUGAUCAGGUAAAGAUGAAUUGUAAUGCCUCGUCAUCACCUCAUGGUGUCACUAAAGCUCUAGUUCUGAUACACAGGUCAUUGCGCUCUGCCUCGGAAGCGUAGUGUACAGUUUCUGCUAAUCAGUAGACAUGUAGCCUUUCAUAGUAAGUAUUUUCAUAUUGUUCGAUUAUGAAUUAUAGUGUAGAGAAUAUAGUAACUUAUGCUUCUAAAAAGUUUAAGGCCUAAACUCAUUAAACAGAGUUAGGGAAAUCUGCUUUUAGUUUAUUUUCACCCAAUGUAUGGAAAAAUCUACAGAGUUCCCUACCACUAGAUGUACUGGUGCCUCUCAGGUAGUUAAAAUUGUUGAUUGGGGACCACUUUUCAGAGGAAUGUGAUUGUUUCUCUUGAUUGUGUUUUGUCAUUUUGUUAAUUUGUAUUAUGUUUUGUGAAUUGUGUAUAUUCAGGGCUCCCUUGUAGAAGAGACCUUAUUCUCAAUGGGACUGAAAUAAAAAGGACUUACCUGCAUUUAUUGUGAGUGCUUAUCUCAAUCAGUUAUCUGGAACAUGUGAC
rnacentral:lncRNA from 1 species